UACGGGGGGAGCAAGCGUUGUUCGGAUUUACUGGGCGUAAAGGGCGCGUAGGCGGCCACCGCAAGUCAGUUGUGAAAUCUCCGAGCUUAACUCGGAAAGGUCAACUGAUACUGCGGGGCUAGAGUGCGGAAGGGGCGACUGGAAUUCUUGGUGUAGCGGUGAAAUGCGUAGAUAUCAAGAGGAACACCUGCGGCGAAGGCGGGUUGCUGGGCCGACACUGACGCUGAGGCGCGAAAGCUAGGGGAGCGAACGGG
rnacentral:rRNA from 1 species